rnacentral:rRNA from 1 species
AUUGAACGCUGGCGGCAGGCCUAACACAUGCAAGUCGAACGAGUGGCGGACGGGUGAGUAAUGUCUGGGAAACUGCCCGAUGGGGGGGGAUUACCAAUGGAAACGGUAGCUAAUACCGCAUACCCUCGGAUGUGCCCCGAUGGGAUUAGCUCGUAGGUGGGGUAACGGCGCACCUAGGCGACGAUCCCUAGCUGGUCUGAGAGGAUGACCAGCCACACUGGAACUGAGACACGGUCCAGACUCCUACGGGAGGCAGCAGUGGGGAAUAUUGCACAAUGGGCGCAAGCCUGAUGCAGCCAUGCCGCGUGUAUGAAGAAGGCCUUCGGGUUGUAAAGUACUUUCAGCGAGGAGGCGUUACUCGCAGAAGAAGCACCGGCUAACUCCGUGCCAGCAGCCGCGGUAAUUC